rnacentral:rRNA from 1 species
AGCGGAUGACGGGAGCUUGCUCCUUGAUUCAGCGGCGGACGGGUGAGUAAUGCCUAGGAAUCUGCCUGGUAGUGGGGGACAACGUUUCGAAAGGAACGCUAAUACCGCAUCGUCCUACGGGAGAAAGCAGGGGACCUUCGGGCCUUGCGCUAUCAGAUGACCCCACGUCGGAUUAGCUUGUUGGUGAGGUAAUGGCUCACCAAGGCGACGAUCCGUAACUGGUCUGAGAGGAUGAUCAGUCACACUGGAACUGAGACACGGUCCACACUCCUACGGGAGGCAGCAGUGGGGAAUAUUGGACAAUGGGCGAAACCCUGAUCCACCCAUGCCGCGUGUGUGAAGAACGUCUUCGGAUUGGAAAGGACUUUAAGUUGGGAGGAAGGGCAGUAAGUUAAUACCUUGCUGUUUUGACGUUACCGACAGAAUAAUCACCGGCUAACUCUGUGCCAGCACCCGCGGUAAUACAGAGGGUGCAAUCGUUAAUCGGAAUUACUGGGCGUAAAGCGCGCGUAGGUGGUUUGUUAAGUUGGAUGUGAAAGCCCCGGGCUCAACCUGG